rnacentral:misc_RNA from 1 species
CUCGCACGCGCGCGCAGUGUAAAUUCCUGUCUGUUCCUGUCAACGAAAAUAACAACAGUCGAAACAAGAUCAGAUUCUUAGCGGUGUCCGAUUGUCAGCAUCAAACAACGUAUCUGGUACUGCUUGCAUCACGCCUUGCACGAUGUCAAGACGAUCGAGUCGCCCGUCGUCGGCAACCUCUCACGGCAGCAGGUCCUCCAACAUAGACCGGGACUUCAAGCUGAACUGCAAGGCAGCAUAUCUGUCCGUGUUUGACGACAUCAGAGAUGAAAUAACCUCAAAGAAUGAUCUCAUAUUAGUUCUUCAACAAUCAGGCCGCAAUCCUUCUCAGCGUACUUUGGAAAAGUAUUGGAAAUAUGAUACAGAUUCGUUAACGUUUAAUGACUUUGUUGACAUUUGUCAGCAGGAACAUGCUACCACUGCAGAAGAUCUUAUGAAAGCUUUCAAGAAGAUUGACGUAAAUGGCGAUGGGUACAUUUCUUUGGAUGAACUGCAUGACACUCUUACUAGUAAAGGAGAGAAAAUGAGUGAGGAUGAGGUCAGGGCCAUAAUCGAUGAAGUUGAUGAAAAUAAAGAUGGCCGUCUGGAUUAUGCAGAGGAACAAUUUUUCUAUAUUCAGUUCUGCAACAUGAUGAUGAAGACAGUGGAGGAAUCUAGGAAGAUGGCCAUGAAAAUCAUGGAGAAAAAGGAGAGAAAAAAACAACGCAGCAAACAAUCGGUCACCCCUAGAAAAGACAAGGAAGAAGAAGAUAUUCAAUCUUCAAGAACAUCUUUACAGUCAGGCUCUGGGCAUUUGAAAAAACGUCGUGGCUCAAAGUCGUCUAUGAUCAGCAUUGAUGAUUUGCCGAAGCCGUCUCCCAGAGUUAACCGAGACCGGAGCCAGCUGGCAGUGAAAUCUCACCUCCAGGAACCAAACAGUCUGAGUGACUGGACACAUAACUUCAGCCGAGGCUGCUUCUACCUGGAGGAUGGGAAAAUAAUCAACAACCAGUACUCGCUCAGUCUGCCAGAGGACUGCAGUGUGUGGUUCACCAUCAAACCCAUCAGAAUUGGAGAAGGGGGUGUAACUGAAAAUGGAUUUCCAGUGGACACAGCUUUGUUUAUUCUGAGGGACAGAGGUCAUUCACACGGACAGAGAGUGGUCACGUUCACAGAACAGAGAGACUCUCAAGGGAAAUACGGAGUUCGCUGUGACCUGAAAGCGGGGAAGUACAAGCUCAUUCCAUUCUCGACAGGAUGUCGACUGACACCGAGCAGGCAUCACCCGAAACACGAGUCUAAACUGGUUCAGAAGGACAAGCACAAUAACUUUGUCCUCACCAAGGUUUUCAGAAAGGCCCUCGAUGAAAUAUUUGAUAUGGUCGACCUGGACGAAAACGGCCUGUUGAGUCGGGAGGAGUUCAAUCUGUACACAUGGAGGACCAGUGGGGACGAAGUGGCUGAUGAAGAAUGGGAUGUAGUUGAAACCAACUGUGAUCUACAGGAUGGACAGAUCACGAGGGAGGGCUUUCUUCACCUCACGGAAAUGGAAGCCAAAGAGUCCGAUGGGGACGAGAAAGAUUUGUGGAUUACCCUGGAGAACAUGGGCUACGACAAGUCCCUUGUUUUGUCUGAGGCGUGUCCAUUCCGAUUGGACGUGUACACUGAGGACUGUGAGAAUGUGGAACUGAAGGUGUCGACGAAUGAACCAACCGACGAGUAUGUCGAAGAAGCUGUGUGUGAAUCGGUCGUAUCAAAGGGUGAAAGCUCAAAGAUCAAGGGAAUGCGAGACCUUACGUUAUACAACUACAUUGGCGAAACCAGGGCAACCAUUGUUGUGAAAAACGGGUCUUCGUCACAGGUUUCCGUGGAACUGGACUGUAGUGGCAGCCGGAAUUGCAUCAGUAACCCCAACACAUUACAGCACACAGUGUCUGUACCAGCUCAAACUACAGUGAUUGGAUAUCAUCUUCUACCACAUAACGAGAAAUCAGGAUGGACAGUUCAGUGUUCAGAGAAGAUUGUGAAAUGAGAAAUUAUGUUUACGCAAACUAUCACUAUUUAAUGUACAGUAACUACAGUUAGGAAAUGCAUCUGAUCUCAUGUUGUCCAUGAUACAACAUUUUGAGGAGUCUUACACAUAUCCAGUGUUCUUCAUUGCAACAUUCAUUCCAUAUAAACCAAAAUAUUCCAUGUUCCAAAGGUAAUUUUUAAUCUCUCUCCAGUUUUUAAAAUUUUUAAUGAAUGUACAUGUACAUCGUUUAUAGCUGUAUAUUAUAAUUAACAGACAUGAUGGUUUUCCCGUACUGAUUUUUAUUUUCUGCUUGUUAUAAUUUUUAAAGAGUGGUCUUUCGUGACAUUUUGCCUUAAUUUAUGGUGCCAGAGAAAACAUUUGUCAAGAAUAUUACAAUCUGAAUUUCUUGACUGUCCCAUAUUGUGAUUGGCCUACAGUUUCCAAUAAACCAAUGAUUCACUGCCUAACAAGUUGGCAAACAGUUUUCCUUUUGAAAAAAUAGCAUCGCAUGUUGUUAUAGCACAUACACACACCAAACCGGAAAGCCAUCUCUUAGUCCACAUUAACAUUACUAUGUUCGAGUAAAAUCUUCUCUCUUUUUUUUGGUAGGGUGCACAAUUAUGUCUGAAUUAAGCAUUUGUUGGAAAAUUAUAAAAGAUAUUGUAUUAAAUUAAUGUAUAUUGGUUAAUCGUGGUAAUUCUUGUGUAGGUAAUAAAGCACAAAUUUUAAUUGGUGUAACGUACAUUGUAUGUUUCUUUUUCCGUCCAUGUUGCUAUCAUUUCUUGUCAUUUAGGUUUAGGUUGAACCACACUGUCAGGUCAUUAUUUAUUGGUUGUUUUCCGUCCAUGUGUUUUUAGGUUUUCACUUUGUAUCUGAAAUCAGUAGACCGGUUUCUAAUGUUUUAUUUAAUAAUGAUAUAUAAUAUAUAUUUAUACAUAAUACAUUUCAUUACAUGUAUCUAUAUAGUUUACAUUAACAAUGUUGUAAGUUUCACAUGUGCUGUAAAUGUGUCAUCACAAAUGUGUCAUCACAUUUUAUUUCAUAGAAUGUGCUCUAAAAGUGAUAUGUGACAUGUCAGUAGGACAUAUUCUUCUUAUGACGUGGUAAAAUUAACAAACUCAGAGUAUCAGAUGUCUGAACGCUUUUACAAUGAUUGGGAAAACCCCCAACUAUUUUUUUUAUCUACACACAUCAGCAUUCUCAUAACAAGUAAUCGUUUGUGCAUACUCUAUAUUUUUGAAACUAAUAAAAAUUACAUUACAAAUUUUACAUCAUUUACAAGCAUUGAUUUCAGAAUGCCACUGUUUUGUGACAGGUGCUUGAAAGUGUUUAUUAGAAGUAAUUUGCAAAAGACAUUGUUCUUAAUUCAUCAGUAAAAAUUCAUAUGCAUAAUAGUUUUUAUUUAAACCUUUGCUUUAGCAUUGAAUAGAAAAAUCUUUAAGAAGUAGAAUGAAUACUGAUAGACUACGUACUGAUGGACUACGGACUGUGUAACCAAAUUAUGUUACAAUACAUUUUAGAAACAUCUGGUUGCAUUUCUUCUUGUUUUUGGCUCUUUUUUUCUCUUUUUUUUUUUGUGGGGUGGGGGUACAUGUAGGUGGGCGAGUGGGAAGGCACAGGUACUAUAAAGAUUUAUUGUUGAUUAUAUAAAGUACAUUUUGGGUCUAGUUAUUAUGUCAAGAUGAUCUAAACAAUAUAAAAAAAAAUAUGGAUAUCCUUGGCAGCUUUUUAGCCAAAACAGUUUUAAGUUGUGAGUGUCACAUUGUUUAGAGAAUUAAUUAUUGGUAGGCAUUUUAUUUUUCAAAAUAUAUUGAUUAAAGAAAAAUAUACACCUAGAAAUUAAUUAAGCACUGACUGAAUUGUAAUGCAGCCAAUAAGGCACGGCAAGUAUUGCACCCUCUAACCAGUGGACUGUUAGCACUCCCCAAGUCCCUUCCACCAGUCCAGAAUUUUGCACCCAGGGCACCUGCCCUGGUGGCCACGCCCACACUACAUGUAUGCCACUGAGGCACCUGCCCUGGUGGCCACGCCCACACUACAUGUAUGCCACUGAGGCACCUGCCCUGGUGGCCACGCCCACACUACAUGUAUGCCACUGAGGCACCUGCCCUGGUGGCCACGCCCACACUACAUGUAUGCCACUGAGGCACCUGCCCUGGUGGCCACGCCCACACUACAUGUAUGCCACUGAGGCACCCGCCCUGGUGGCCACGCCCACACUACAUGUAUGCCACUGAGGCACCCGCCCUGGUGGCCACGCCCACACUACAUGUAUGCCACUGAGGCACCCGCCCUGGUGGCCACGCCCACACUACAUGUAUGUCACUGAGGCACCUAUAAGUAGUUUUCCUGGCUAGUGGGGUUUAAACCCAAUAUUAAGAAUGUUUACAUAUUUUGUAUACUAGAUGUUCACUGAGAUGGCAUGAAUAAGUGGUGCUUAAUUAAUUUACAGGUGUAUAUUUCUAGGUUGCUUUUUAAUAGUGAGUAUGGAACCAAUCAAAAUAAUAAAAUAUAACAAUAGUACUCGACUCAUUGUGGUUCACAAAGUAAUGGUCACUACAGAUCUACAAUAGACUUGUCUGAUGCUGUUAUUUUUAUUAUUUCAAACAACGUCCAAUCUCAUUUGGUAUUCAGUAUUCAGCAUUAACAUAUGUAUUUUGAAUUUUAUUUCACAUUCCACAAAGGCCAGCAUAAUUAGAUUCAUAAUAUGCAUAUUGAAUAAACUCCAUUUAAAACCA